AUUGAACGCUGGCGGCAGGCCUAACACAUGCAAGUCGAACGAGUGGCGGACGGGUGAGUAAUGUCUGGGAAACUGCCCGAUGGAGGGGGAUAACUACUGGAAACGGUAGCUAAUACCUCAUACCAUCGGAUGUGCCCAGAUGGGAUUCGCUAGUAGGUGGGGUAACGGCUCACCUAGGCGACGAUCCCUAGCUGGUCUGAGAGGAUGACCAGCCACACUGGAACUGGGACACGGUCAAGACGCCUACGGGAGGCAGCAGUGGGGAAUAUGGGACAAUGGGCGCAAGCCUGAUGCAGCCAUGCGGCGUGUAUGAAGAAGGCCUUCGGGUUGUAAAGUACUUUAAGCGAGGAGGCGUUACUCGCAGAAGAAGCACCGGCUAACUCCGUGCCAGCAGCCGCGGUAAUAC
rnacentral:rRNA from 1 species